GCGGCAGUAGCUCAGCUGGAUAGAGUGACUGGCUACGAACCAGUAGGUCGGGGGUUCGAGUCCCUCCUGCCGUGCCA
rnacentral:tRNA from 2 species